AUAUGGGUGUGAAUUAUAUUGCAGUUUUUAAAAUAUUUACUCUACUGGAGAAUAAAUUUGAAGAAGCCUGCAAUCUUCGGGUUGGAAAAAAUUUAAAUCUUAAUUUUUCUUGCAAUGAUGUUGCCUGGAACCUCAAUGAUAAUCAUAUAUUGGCGACAGCAGCAACAAAUGGUGCAGUGGUUGUUUGGAAUUUAAAUAAACAAUCUCGGUCAAAACAGGAGCAUGUAUUUAUAGGUUAUAAAAGAACUGUGAAUAAAGUGAGCUUUCAUAUGAGAAGAACCUAUGUGGUUAAUAUCUGGCUCACAAGAUGGUACUAUGAAAUGUUUUGAUUUAUGAAUAAAAGAAACCAUUAAAACUUUUUAUAGAAUCGGUGAGAGAUGUUCAAUUUUGUCCACAAUAACCGCAUACUUGCUGCUGUAUCCGAAAAUAGACAUGUACAGCAAUGAGACAUGAGAAAGCCGCAUCGUUAUUUUCAA